rnacentral:rRNA from 1 species
GAUGAACGCUGGCGGCGUGCCUAAUACAUGCAAGUCGAGCGAAUGGAUUAAGAGCUUGCUCUUAUGAAGUUAGCGGCGGACGGGUGAGUAACACGUGGGUAACCUGCCCAUAAGACUGGGAUAACUCCGGGAAACCGGGGCUAAUACCGGAUAACAUUUUGAACCGCAUGGUUCGAAAUUGAAAGGCGGCUUCGGCUGUCGCUUAUGGAUGGACCCGCGUCGCAUUAGCUAGUUGGUGAGGUAACGGCUCACCAAGGCAACGAUGCGUAGCCGAGCUGAGAGGGUGAUCGGCUACACUGGGACUGAGACACGGCCCAGACUCCUACGGGAGGCAGCAGUAGGGAAUCUUCCGCAAUGGACGAAAGUCUGACGGAGCAACGCCGCGUGAGUGAUGAAGGCUUUCGGGUCGUAAAACUCUGUUGUUAGGGAAGAACAAGUGCUAGUUGAAUAAGCUGGCACCUUGACGGUACCUAACCAGAAAGCCACGGCUAACUACGUGCCAGCCGCCGCAGUAA